GACGAACGCUGGCGGCGUGACUAAUACAUGAAAGUAGAACGCAGUUGCGAAAGGGUGAGUAACGCGUAGGUAACUGCCUCAUAGCGGGGGAUAACUAUUGGACACGAUAGCUAAUACCGCAUACUGUGAGAUGGAACUGCUUUGUGUUAGAUCGUUGGUGAGGUAAAGGCUAAACAAGGCGAUGAUACAUAGCCGACCUGAGAGGGUGAUUGGCCACAAUUGGACUGAGAAAAGUCCCAGACUCCGAAGGGAGGCAGCAGUAGGUAAGUUGCGGCAAUGGACGGAAGUCUGACCGAGCAACGCCGCGUGAGUGAGGAAGGUGUUCGGAUCGUAAAGCUCUGUUGUUAGAGAUGCGGUAACUAACCAGAAAGGGACGGCUAACUACGUGCCAGCAGCCGCGGUAAUAC
rnacentral:rRNA from 1 species